rnacentral:sRNA from 1 species
CGUGAAGGAUAACGUUGCGUCAGCAACGGCCCGUAGGGCAAGGCGAAGCCGAGUCAUCCUGCACGACUCACCA